UGAUAAUAAUAAUAAAUAUUUGUGUGUUUGUGUGUGUAUAUAUAUAUAUAAUUAUGAUCAGAGAUUCAUUUACCAUAAGGUGCAUUAGGCACAAACUGGGGCCUCACUCUAUGAGGCCAUGUUUUAAAACAUUACUCCUCACCAAUGAUAUUAAUGCUCCUCGCAAACAACAAUAUAAAAAAUGGUGCAGUUAUAGUUGUAAAAUAAAGUACUUAAAUAAAAGAACACACAGCGCUUCAUGCAGUGCGGCGGGGCUCCAAUUUUUAUUGGACAAGCAUUUUUGAAGUAUUAAUGCAUCCUCCUCGGGUC
rnacentral:lncRNA from 1 species